GAGUUUGAUCCUGGCUCAGAACGAACGCUGGCGGCGUGGAUUAGGCAUGCAAGUCGAGCGCGAACGUGGCUUCGGCCACUAGUAGAGCGGCACAAGGGUGAGUAACACAUGGACAACUUGCCCUCGAGACUGGAAUAACGGCGGGAAACCGCCGCUAAUGCCGGAUGGCCCUGCGACACGGCAUCGUGUUGUAGGUAAAGGUGGGGAUCCUUCGGGACCUGCCGCUCGAGGAGAGGUUCAUGCACUAUCAGCUUGUUGGUGGGGUAACGGCUCACCAAGGCGACGACGGUUAGGCGACCUGAGAGGGUGACCGCCCACACUGGGACUGAGACACUGCCCAGACUCCUACGGGAGGCUGCAGUCGAGAAUCUUCCGCAAUGGACGAAAGUCUGACGGAGCGACGCCGCGUGCGGGAUGAAGGGCUUUGGCUUGUAAACCGCUGUCAGGUGUUAGGAACGCGUAACGGUUAACACCCGUUGCGUUGACAAAGGCACCAAAGGAAGCCACGGCUAACUCUGUGCCAGCAGCCGCGGUAAUACAGAGGUGGCAAGCGUUGUUCGGUAUCACUGGGCUUAAAGGGCGCGUAGGCGGCGCGAUACGGUCUGGGUGAAAUCCCUCGGCUCAACCGAGGAAUUGCCUGGGCAACGGUCGUGCUAGACAGCAUCAGGGGAAGGUGGAACUCGCGGUGGAGCGGUGAAAUGCGUAGAUAUCGCGAGGAACGCCGGUGGCGAAAGCGACCUUCUGGGGUGCUUGUGACGCUGAGGCGCGAAAGCUAGGGGAGCGAACGGGAUUAGAUACCCCGGUAGUCCUAGCCCUAAACGAUGUGCACUAGGUAGUGGGGCGUUCCGACGUCCCGCUGCCGGAGCAAAAGUUUUAAGUGCACCGCCUGGGGACUACGGUCGCAAGACUAAAACUCAAAGGAAUUGACGGGGGCUCACACAAGCGGUGGAGGAUGUUGCUUAAUUCGAAGCAACGCGAAGAACCUUACCAGGACUUGACAUGCUAGUAGUACGGACUGGAAACAGCGAGGACCCCUUUAUUGGGGAGCUAGCACAGGUGUUGCAUGGCUGUCGUCAGCUCGUGCCGUGAGGUGUUGGGUUAAGUCCCGUAACGAGCGAAACCCUUGCCAAUAGUUGCCAGCGGGUAAUGCCGGGGACUCUAUUGGGACUGCCCGUGUCAAGCGGGAGGAAGGUGGGGAUGACGUCAAGUCAUCAUGGCCCUUACGUCCUGGGCUGCAAACGUCCUACAAUGGCUGGUACAAAGGGUUGCCAACCCGCGAGGGGGAGCUAAUCCCAUAAAGCCAGCCUCAGUUCGGAUUGUAGGCUGAAAUUCGCCUGCAUGAAGGUGGAAUCGCUAGUAAUCGCGGAUCAGCUAUGCCGCGGUGAAUAUGUUCCUGAGCCUUGUUCACACCGCCCGUCAAGCCACGGAAGCCGGGAGUACCCAAAGUCGUUAACCCAACCUUCGGGAGGGAGGCGACCACGGUAAGCCUGGUGACUGGGACUAAGUCGUAACAAGGUAGCCGUAGGAGAACCUGCGGCUGGAUCACCUCCUUUCU
rnacentral:rRNA from 1 species